AUUGAACGCUGGCGGAAUGCUUUACACAUGCAAGUCGAGCGGCAGGGCGGGCUUCGGCCUGGCGGCGAGCGGCGAACGGGUGAGUAAUACAUCGGAACGUGCCCAGGUGUGGGGGAUAGCUCGGCGAAAGCCGAAUUAAUACCGCAUACGAUCUCCGGAUGAAAGUGGGGGACCGCAAGGCCUCACGCACUUGGAGCGGCCGAUGGCAGAUUAGGUUGUUGGUGGGGUAAAGGCCUACCAAGCCUGCGAUUUGUAGCUGGUCUGAGAGGAUGAUCAGCCACACUGGGACUGAGACACGGCCCAGACUCC
rnacentral:rRNA from 1 species